rnacentral:rRNA from 1 species
ACACAUGCAAGUCGAACGGCAGCACGGAGGGGUAACUCUCUGGUGGCGAGUGGCGAACGGGUGAGUAAUAUAUCGGAACGUACCUUAUAGUGGGGGAUAACUCAGCGAGAGCUGGGCUAAUACCGCAUACGACCUGAGGGAGAAAGUGGGGGAUUCGCAAGGACCUCAUGCUAUAAGAGCGGCCGAUAUCUGAUUAGCUAGUUGGUGAGGUAAAGGCUCACCAAGGCUGUGAUCAGUAGCUGGUCUGAGAGGACGACCAGCCACACUGGAACUGAGACACGGUCCAGACUCCUACGGGAGGCAGCAGUGGGGAAUUUUGGACAAUGGGGGCAACCCUGAUCCAGCAAUGCCGCGUGAGUGAAGAAGGCCUNCGGGUUGUAAAGCUCUUUUGUCCGGGAAGAAACGGUUUCUCCUAAUACGGGGAGCUAAUGACGGUACCGGAAGAAUAAGCACCGGCUAACUACNUGCCAGCAGCCGCGGUAAUA